AUUGAACGCUGGCGGCAUGCCUUACACGUGCAAGUCGAACGGCAGCACGGGUGCUUGCACCUGGUGGCGAGUGGCGAACGGGUGAGUGACACAUCGGAACGUACCUUAUCGUGGGGGAUAACGCAGCGAAAGCUGUGCUAAUACCGCAUACGCCCUGAGGGGGAAAGCGGGGGAUCGAAAGACCUCGCGCGAUUAGAGCGGCCGAUGCCUGAUUAGCUUGUUGGUGGGGUAAAAGCCCACCAAGGCGACGAUCAGUAGCUGGUCUGAGAGGACAAUCAGCCACACUGGGACUGAGACACGGCCCAGACUCCUACGGGAGGCAGCAGUGGGGAAUUUUGGACAAUGGGGGCAACCCUGAUCCAGCAAUGCCGCGUGAGUGAAGAAGGCCUUCGGGUUGUAAAGCUCUUUUGUCAGGGAAGAAACACCGGCUCUAACACAGUCCGGGAAUGACGGUACCUGAAGAAUAAGCACCGGCUAACUACGUGCCAGCCGCCGCGGUAA
rnacentral:rRNA from 1 species